GGAAACUUCUGAAAGAUAGAACUCCAAAUUUUGCUUCAACUUUUUGGAAACAGGCUCCUCAUCAAGGUCGACACCUGCAGCUUUUCUCUUCUCUGGAAAUUUUAACCGCAUAUGUUUAGGUUCUAGCUUGUCUAUCCCUCUUGGGGCAAAUGAAAUUGGUUCAGACUCUUCAAUAGUUCUUUUAACAAGCAAAGCUCGAGAAUGGGAUGGCCAGUUUCUU
rnacentral:misc_RNA from 1 species